rnacentral:rRNA from 1 species
AUUGAACGCUGGCGGAAUGCUUUACACAUGCAAGUCGAGCGGCAGCGCGGGGGCAACCCUGGCGGCGAGCGGCGAACGGGUGAGUAAUACAUCGGAACGUGUCCUUGAGUGGGGGAUAGCUCGGCGAAAGCCGGAUUAAUACCGCAUAAGCUCUGCGGAGGAAGGCGGGGGACUGGUAACGGCCUCGCGCUGUUGGAGCGGCCGAUGUCGGAUUAGCUAGUUGGUGGGGUAAAGGCCCACCAAGGCGACGAUCCGUAGCUGGUCUGAGAGGAUGAUCAGCCACACUGGAACUGAGACACGGUCCAGACUCCUACGGGAGGCAGCAGUGGGGAAUUUUGGACAAUGGGGCAACCCUGAUCCAGCAUGCCGCGUGAGUGAAGAAGGCCU